UGCAGUCGAACGCGUUGGCCCAAUUGAUUGAUGGUGCUUGCACCUGAUUGAUUUUGGUCGCCAACGAGUGGCGGACGGGUGAGUAACACGUAGGUAACCUGCCCAGAAGCGGGGGACAACAUUUGGAAACAGAUGCUAAUACCGCAUAACAGCGUUGUUCGCAUGAACAACGCUUAAAAGAUGGCUUCUCGCUAUCACUUCUGGAUGGACCUGCGGUGCAUUAGCUUGUUGGUGGGGUAACGGCCUACCAAGGCGAUGAUGCAUAGCCGAGUUGAGAGACUGAUCGGCCACAAUGGGACUGAGACACGGCCCAUACUCCUACGGGAGGCAGCAGUAGGGAAUCUUCCACAAUGGGCGCAAGCCUGAUGGAGCAACACCGCGUGAGUGAAGAAGGGUUUCGGCUCGUAAAGCUCUGUUGUUAAAGAAGAACACGUAUGAGAGUAACUGUUCAUACGUUGACGGUAUUUAACCAGAAAGUCACGGCUAACUACGUGCCAGCAGCCGCGGUAAUACGUAGGUGGCAAGCGUUAUCCGGAUUUAUUGGGCGUAAAGAGAGUGCAGGCGGUUUUCUAAGUCUGAUGUGAAAGCCUUCGGCUUAACCGGAGAAGUGCAUCGGAAACUGGAUAACUUGAGUGCAGAAGAGGGUAGUGGAACUCCAUGUGUAGCGGUGGAAUGCGUAGAUAUAUGGAAGAACACCAGUGGCGAAGGCGGCUACCUGGUCUGCAACUGACGCUGAGACUCGAAAGCAUGGGUAGCGAACAGGAUUAGAUACCCUGGUAGUCCAUGCCGUAAACGAUGAGUGCUAGGUGUUGGAGGGUUUCCGCCCUUCAGUGCCGGAGCUAACGCAUUAAGCACUCCGCCUGGGGAGUACGACCGCAAGGUUGAAACUCAAAGGAAUUGACGGGGGCCCGCACAAGCGGUGGAGCAUGUGGUUUAAUUCGAAGCUACGCGAAGAACCUUACCAGGUCUUGACAUCUUGCGCCAACCCUAGAGAUAGGGCGUUUCCUUCGGGAACGCAAUGACAGGUGGUGCAUGGUCGUCGUCAGCUCGUGUCGUGAGAUGUUGGGUUAAGUCCCGCAACGAGCGCAACCCUUGUUACUAGUUGCCAGCAUUAAGUUGGGCACUCUAGUGAGACUGCCGGUGACAAACCGGAGGAAGGUGGGGACGACGUCAGAUCAUCAUGCCCCUUAUGACCUGGGCUACACACGUGCUACAAUGGACGGUACAACGAGUCGCGAACUCGCGAGGGCAAGCAAAUCUCUUAAAACCGUUCUCAGUUCGGACUGCAGGCUGCAACUCGCCUGCACGAAGUCGGAAUCGCUAGUAAUCGCGGAUCAGCAUGCCGCGGUGAAUACGUUCCCGGGCCUUGUACACACCGCCCGUCACACCAUGAGAGUUUGUAACACCCAAAGUCGGUGGGGUAACCUUUU
rnacentral:rRNA from 1 species